rnacentral:rRNA from 1 species
CACUAAAGGAGAGCUUUGCGUCCUAUUAGCCUAGUUGGUAAGGUAAGAGCUUACCAAGGCGAUGAUAGGUAGCCGGCCUGAGAGGGUGGACGGCCACAAGGGGACUGAGAUACGGCCCUUACUCCUACGGGAGGCAGCAGUGGGGAAUAUUGGACAAUGGAGGGAACUCUGAUCCAGCAAUUCUGUGUGUGUGAAGAAGGUUUUAGGACUGUAAAACACUUUUAGUAGGGAAGAAAAAAAUGACGGUACCUACAGAAGAAGCAACGGCUAAAUACGUGCCAGCAGCCGCGGUAAU